AACGCGAAGAACCUUACCUGGGCUCGAAAUGUAGAGGGCGUUAACAGAGAUGUUAACUCUCGAAAGAGUCUUUACAUAGGUGCUGCAUGGCUGUCGUCAGCUCGUGCCGUGAGGUGUUUGGUUAAGUCCAGCAACGAGCGCAACCCUUAUCGUUAGUUGCCAACGCGUAAUGGCGGGAACUCUAACGAGACUGCCUGGGUUAACCAGGAGGAAGGUGAGGAUGACGUCAAGUCCGCAUGGCCUUUAUGUCCAGGGCAACACACGUGCUACAAUGGUCGGUACAGAGGGCAGCAGAACCGCAAGGCGAAGCAAAUCCCAUAAAACCGAUCUCAGUUCAGAUUGGAGUCUGCAACUCGACUCCAUGAAGUUGGAAUUGCUAGUAAUGGCGUGUCAGCUACAACGCCGUGAAUACGUUCCCGGGCCUUGUA
rnacentral:rRNA from 1 species